AGCAGCAGAGGUGGAGGGGUGCAGAUACAGGUGAAGAAAUGCCAGAUCGCAUGCUGGUAGCCACGUGAAGGGAGGAGAGAGGCAGGGAACAGCUUCUCCCUCAGACCCUCCAGAAGGAACCAACACUGCCAACACCUGGAUUUCAGACUUCUGGCCUCCAGGACGAUUAGAAAUGAAUUAUUGUUUUUGGCCAUUUGAGUUUGUGGGAGAUGAUCCUGGGUUACCUGAGUGGCCCCAAAGAAUCACAAGAUCUUUCCAUGUGGCAGAAGGAGACAGGGAAAAGGAGAUGGUUCGAGAGGGACUCAGCCCCGAGGUGGCUGGCUUUGAAGACGGAGGAAGGAGCCACCAGUUAAGGAAUGCAGGUGGCCUCGAGGAGCUGGAGAAGGCCAGGAACAGGCUCGGCCUUGGAGCCUCCAGAAGGAAGCAGCCCUGCUGACACCUGGAUCCGAGCCCAGCGAGCCCCAUUUCAGGCUUCCGACCUCCAGGUCUGCCUGGAAGGGCUGUUUGGGAAGUCAAAUAAGACAGGAAAUGGAAACGGCUGGUCCUUAAUAAACAGUUUUAUCUCCCAGCUCUGUCCCCAUCCAGGAUUCCAAACACACAGUGUAAUUUCCGCCUGAAUGCUUCUCAUUCCAGCCUCCCAGUGAGGAGGCUCAUUGCUGGCCUGGGCUCUCCAGCGUCUGAGAGGAAAUCCAACCCGGAGGGUGGGUGGGGGGUCUUCGCCCUCUUUCCUGAAGCUAGGCCCUUUCAUCGCUAAGUGCUGAGAGGGACAUUUACUGAGCACCAGAUGGGGCUCUGCCCACACAGGACGCCAUGUAGCCCUCAGCAGUUCUACAAGGUACUGCUGCAGCAGUCUCCAUUUCACAGACGUGGAAACGAAGGCUCCGGAAAGGGAAGGGACUUGUCUAGGACCUCACCAUAAGUAAGGUGGCCCCCUGGUGUGCUGCAUGCGUGGGGGUGAAAUAGGGUGCGCUGUGCUGGGGCUGGAAGCAAGCCAUGACCCACUCAUGAGGACCUUCAGGGAGAGGCAACAGGUCCCUGUCUGCUCUCGUGGUCCAGGAGGCCAGAGAGAACCUGGGAGAUGUGGGGCAGGCCUCUGCUUGAAUCCCGGCACCAGACAGUGUGAUCUCAGGCCAGUCUCAUGCCUCUCUGCGCCUCCGUUUUCUCACAAGCAAGACGGGCACAGUGCCUUCCUUCAGCUCAGAGGGGAAGGACUCGUCCAGGUUCAUACAAGACGCCCGAAGUCCAAAAUCAACUUCCUGGGCUGAAAUCAAGGUGUUGGCAGGACUGGUUCCUUCUGGAGGCUCUGUCGGGAGCCCAUGACCCGCCUCUCCCGGCUUCUGGAGGCCACCUGCAUUCCUUGGCGUGCGACCUCUCCCUCCCAUGUCUCCAAGCUCUUGCUUCCAUUGUCCUGUCCCCUCUUCUCUAGUCAAAUCUCGCUCUUCUCAGGACACUUGUGAUUACAUUUAGGGCCCACCUGAGUAAUCCAGGAAACACACACACUACAUGUAGGCAACAUCAGAAAUGAGCUAGAAGGCUGGAUUCCGAAAAAGCUUUAGGUGGUUGUAUCUAUGAGUGGUGGGACGGUGAAUAAUUGGUGUCAUCUUUUUGCUUAUCUGCCAGUUACAUUUAUGUACAACAAACAUCAAUUAUUUGCAUAAUCAAGGUGAAAUUUAAAAAUGUAACAAUCUAACCAAAACGAACCAGAAUCCUCCUGAUUCUUGAAGCCCUCCUGACUCCCAGGGAGGAGGGGGCUCGCCUUUCUCGUGAUUCCCUUCCCUUCUUACUUCCUGGAGCUCCUGACCGUGAGCUCUGGAAGACCAGCUGGAAACAGGGCAGGGAGUGUGUUCUGAGAACAGACAGCACACCCGCCCCUCAUAUGUUGACUGGGCACAUCGACUCUGUGCAAUCUUCUCAUCCCUGAUGGUACUAAUCCCAUGGAGGUUAACUGACCUCCAAGGGCUGGCCCAAGGAUGAGCAAGGAUGGGGUUUGCCCAAGGUCACAGCAGGCAAUGCAGGGUUCCCACCUCAGGCCUUCUGCCACCAUCAAGGCCAUAGGGGACAUGCCAUGACCUGAGUAUAACCAAGAUGGGGCAGGGGGUACUGGCAUGAGGUCCUUUUCCCUAAGAGGUGUGGCUUUUCUUACCUGCCCAUCUUCAAACCCUUGCAUGCCAAACCCACUUUACCGAUGGGCAAAUAGAGUCCCCAAGUAAUGAAGACGGCCCAGAGGAGAUGCAAUUCCAGAGUUGACCACAAGGUGGCAGCAGCAGGCCAUGGUCCCACCACCCACAGGGCUUUGCAUCCUGUGGGAAAACACUCCUGGGGGCCAAGCCAAGGAACAAGGAAAACUGAGGCAGGGUUGUCACCUCUUCUGGGAGAUACUCUGAAAAAAGCAGAGCUCACUUGGUGUCCCAUGGUAGCCUUGGGUUGACUAGCCAGUCUCCAGCCCAAGUCACAGAGAAUGGCUCUAGCUAGUAGCACAGUCCUUGGGCUUUUCUAUUCAGAGGGUGGGGAUGACGUAGGCAUGCUCCUCUGUGCCUGCAGCAGCCCCAGAGGAAAGGCCCCAGUCAGGAGUCGGGCCCCUGUCCCCAGCAUGGUUCAACCACUAACCGUACCCUCUUCUGCAAAAUGCGGAGACAGAAGAAAACAUCUCCGUGCUAUGUGAAAACAGGGAAAGGGGAGAUGGCUAAUACCUGGGGCCUCACCUGCACCCGGGCCCUCCUUCGUGGAACUGGGCCUCCAGGGGAAGCUGAGGCUGGGGAUCACAAUAGCUGGGCUGAGCAGGGCAGGGAGCACAGGGCGGGGGUGGGGGGGCUGUGGCAGUGAGACUCUCCCCUGGUCACAAUGUCAUGGACAGAAGGUGGACACCUUGUCCCAAGCCGGGCACAUCAGAUGCUCCCUUUGGGGAAUUUGGAACUAAGACAAAGUAAGGACAAGUCUGCCUCCUUGAACAACUGGAAAGGUACCAAGUAACUCCCGGUGAGAUUCGAGGAUGGCCGGAAAAGGCUGGCUGUGAAGAGAAGAGAAAGUGGGAUGCAGAACAGCAGGCCCCCCAUGGUGCUCCUGGCCUAGUUCCUGUCCUGCUGAGGGAGGCACCCCAGGCCCCCUGGAGCAGGAACAGCAUUCUGGACACAGUGCUGGCUCUGGGGACCCUGAUACCUGUUGGCCCCUCGGAGGCAGCCUCCAGGGCUCCUUAUGUCACAGGCUGGUGUGGUCUCGGGAUUUGGCUUGUCUCCUUCCUCCCACAGCCCCAGGGGGACAGGAAGGGAGACCCCCCUCGCCCCCCCCGCCUGGUACUUCACAACACAGGCCGGGCCAGUGGGCUGUGGUAUGUGUGUGCAGUGGCGCACUCUGCAGCCGUCAAGAAUGAGCCAGCGUGACCUGUGCUGACAGACAGAUGGUCACAAGAGAUUGAGAACAGGCAGGUGGCAGACCGGGUCUGCUGGAGACACCAAGGCCGCUGAUUCCAGAGGUUGUGCUGUCUGCCUCCAGAGUGCUCAUCACAUUUUCACCUUAUUUACAUAUUUGCUAUUACAGGGUACAUGAA